UACGGAGGAUGCGAGCGUUAUCCGGAUUUAUUGGGUUUAAAGGGUGCGUAGGCGGUCGGAUAAGUUAGAGGUGAAAUCCCGAGGCUCAACUUCGGAAUUGCCUCUGAUACUGGUUUGCUAGCGAGUAGAUGCUGUAGGCGGAAUGUGUGGUGUAGCGGUGAAAUGCAUAGAGAUCAUACAGAACACCGAUUGCGAAGGCAGCUUACCAAGCUACUUCUGACGUUGAGGCACGAAAGCGUGGGGAGCAAACAGG
rnacentral:rRNA from 1 species